GACGAACGCUGGCGGCGUGCUUAACACAUGCAAGUCGAACGGAAAGGCCCUGCUUGCAGGGUACUCGAGUGGCGAACGGGUGAGUAACACGUGGGUGAUCUGCCCUGCACUUCGGGAUAAGCUUGGGAAACUGGGUCUAAUACCGGAUAGGACCGCACUUUAGUGUGUGUGGUGGAAAGUUUUUUCGGUGUAGGAUGAGCUCGCGGCCUAUCAGCUUGUUGGUGGGGUAAUGGCCUACCAAGGCGGCGACGGGUAGCCGGCCUGAGAGGGUGUACGGCCACAUUGGGACUGAGAUACGGCCCAGACGCCUACGGGAAGCAGAAGUGGGGAAUAUUGCACAAUGGGCGCAAGCCUGAUGCAGCGACGCCGCGUGGGGGAUGAAGGCCUUCGGGUUGGAAACUCCUUUCGCUAGGGACGAAGCUUUUUGUGACGGUACCUAGAUAAGAAGCACCGGCUAACUACGUG
rnacentral:rRNA from 1 species